UUUGUUCUCUUCAGCUGUUUGUGAUAUUAUCCUUAUUUUUGUUCUUGAUCUUCAGAUCUCCUUCCUCUACCUUUAGUUUGCUGCUUCUAAUCUAAUGGACUUGGGAGAAGCCACUUACGAGAAUGGUAUAUAAGCCAAGAGCAAAUGAACUGAAGUCUGAGGGGCUGGCUAUCCAAACAACAAAAGAUGGAGCAUCAGAUCAUUCACUGAAGAGUUUCUUGCUCUUACAAGGUAGGAGCCUCUCUUCUGUCUGGCACAGGAAUCAAUUGGAGAUCCCACUACCUGCACAGGUUGUGAGCCCUGGGCAACCAUUACUGACAGGAAUUUAUUGUGUUCCUCAUGAUAGAAAAAAAAAAUGCUUGAAAAUGUCAAUGUGUAUGUUUUCAUGGCUUAGAACAAUGCUUGAGAAUAUCUUUGUCUUUGUUUUCAUGGCUUAUGAAUAUAAACAUGGUAAGUUUUCACUCAAAUCAUUUGGUCAGCAGUCACAAAUUCAGAUAUAAUGUCAUCUACCUUCACUCUUGUUCAUUCUUUAACUGACUCUUGAUUGUCAAUCUUGUACCCUGGGUUAGUGAGUCUAGUCCUGCUGGUAAUUGUUAUGGUGCUGAUUCCUGGGAAUUUGGACUGGAGAUGAAGGGAGGGAGAACUAAAUAGAGGCAACUAUCCAUUAUGAAUAUAAACAUUACUGUGAUUUCUUAUAAUGUAUUUUUCUCUUACCCUGUAUUAGAAUCUGUAAAACCUAG
ensembl:lincRNA